UUUGAAAUCUGGCCCCCAGGGCCCGAGUUGUAAUUUGCAGAGGAUGCUUUGGGCGAGGUGCCUUCCGAGUUCCCUGGAACGGGACGCCAUAGAGGGUGAGAGCCCCGUCUGGUCGGACACCGAGCCUGUGUAAAGCUCCUUCGACGAGUCGAGUAGUUUGGGAAUGCUGCUCAAAAUGGGAGGUAUAUGUCUUCUAAAGCUAAAUAUUGGCCAGAGACCGAUAGCGCACAAGUAGAGUGAUCGAAAGAUGAAAAGCACUUUGAAAAGAGGGUUAAACAGUACGUGAAAUUGUUGAAAGGGAAGCGCCUAUGACCAGACUUGGGCCCGGUGAAUCAUCCAGCGUUCUCGCUGGUGCACUUUGCCGGGCACAGGCCAGCAUCAGUUUGGCGCGGGGGACAAAGGCUUCGGGAAUGUAGCUCCCUCGGGAGUGUUAUAGCCCGCUGCGCAAUGCCCUGCGCCGGACUGAGGUACGCGCAUCGCAAGGAUGCUGGCGUAAUGGUCAUCAGCGACCCGUCUUGAAACACGGACCAAGGAGUCGUCUUCGUAUGCGAGUGUUCGGGUGUCAAACCCCUACGCGUAAUGAAAGUGAACGCAGGUGAGAGCUUCGGCGCAUCAUCGACCGAUCCUGAUGUUCUCGGAUGGAUUUGAGUAAGAGCAUACGGGGCCGGACCCGAAAGAAGGUGAACUAUGCCUGUAUAGGGUGAAGCCAGAGGAAACUCUGGUGGAGGCUCGCAGCGGUUCUGACGUGCGAAUCGAUCGUCAAAUAUGGGCAUGGGG
rnacentral:rRNA from 1 species